GCCGCCGCGGUAAAACCAGCACCUCAAGUGGUCAGGAUGAUUAUUGGGCCUAAAGCAUCCGUAGCCUGCUUUGUCAGUUUUCGGUUAAAUCCAUACGCUCAACGUAUGGGCUGCCGGGAAUACUGCAAAGCUAGGGAGUGGGAGAGGUAGACGGUACUCGGUAGGAAGGGGUAAAAUCCUUUGAUCUAUUGAUGACCACCUGUGGCGAAGGCGGUCUACCAGAACACGUCCGACGGUGAGGGAUAAAAGCUGGGGGAGCAAACCGGAUUAGAUACCCGGGUAGUCCCCAGCUGUAAACUAUGCAAACUCAGUGAUGCAUUUGGCUUUGAUGCCAAUGCAGUGCUGCAGGGAUAGCCGUUAAGUUUUGCCGCCUGGGGAAAGUACGUACGCAAGUAUGAAAACUUAAAAGGAAUUGGGCGGGGGUGCACCACAAGGGGUGAAGCCUGCGGUUCAAUUGGAGUCAACGCCAGAAAUCUUACCCGGAGAGACAGCAGUAUGAAAGUCAAGCUGAAGACUUUACCAGACAAGCUGAGAAGUGUGCAUGGCCAAGGGCGAAUUCCA
rnacentral:rRNA from 1 species